GGCAAUGGAAUAAACAGUGUUGAGUCCCGAGGGGAGAGAGCUGGGACCACACACAGGGCCUCAUCAGAUCUGGGUCACGUUGCAUCACCAAGGGGACUGGGGAACUGGUUUCUUCCGCUGCUAGCUUUAUACAUCUCUCUUUUCCUCCCUAUCACGUUUUCUUGUUUGGCCCAUUCCCAUCCUGGCUGAGUCCCAAACGGACCCUUCUGCCCGUUCAGUGCCCAAGUCUCAGCCUUUUCUGUAUAUAGAACAUCUUUCCCUUAGAGUCUCAGCACAAAUUAAGUCCCUGAGUGGCAUGGCAGCAUUCAAAUUGAUGAGAACCUCUUAGUGCCUUGGAUUCGAGUGCAGAAUGAAUGCUUCAAGACAGGGGUCAGCAAACUUUUUGUGCAAAGGGCCAGAUAGUACAUAUUUUAGACUUUGCCAGGCAAAACUGAGAGUAUUAUGUAGGUAUUUAUAGAACAGGAGAGAAAACAAAUUUUCACAAAUUUUAUACGUGAAAUUCAAAACUUUAUAGAAAACACUGAAAUUUGAAUUCCAUAUAAUUUUCAUGUGCCACAAAAUAUUAUUCUUCUUUUGAUCUUUUUACAAUUAUUUAAAAUUAUAAAAGCCAUUCUUAGCUUGUGGGGUGUAUAAACAACAGGUGGUGGGCUGGAUUUGGCCCACUGGUUGUAAUUUGCCAACCCCUGUUUCAAGAAGAAUGAAUCAUGUUGCUGUAAAGGAAGGUGCACUCACAACACCCUGUUCUUCCCAUAUCUCUGCAGGCUUGAUUGUGACCAUCUGGAUAAAAAUGCUGGUCAUCCAAACCUCAGUUCCACAAUCAAUGCCUGUGAUUCAUGACAGAUGUGAAGCUCUUAAAGCAGACAGCAAAGAGAAUGCUAAGAAAAUCACAGUGCAUAAGCUGACCCUCAAGGACAGCGUGAAUUGGGACUCAAAGGCGGUGAUGGUGGCCGUUCCUCACAGACCCCAAUGAGAUCACAGUGUCCUGAGACUUUAAUGGGCCGUGACAGGUUAGUGGCCCGGCCAUCCGGCUGCCUGCCUAGAGCCGACUUCCUUGUGGGGAGAGGUCAGGGGAGCAGAAACAGCCUGCUGCUGCCGUCUGCUUCUCUCACAGCCACACAGCGACAUCACACAAGCCCAGAGUCCUUUGAACAUGGCUCCCAGGAAGUGUCACUCAGUGACAGAGCAGAUGCUCUUGGAGGGCAGUGGAAAAGAGCAAGAGCUGUAGAGUCACGCUAACCUGGGUUCAAAUCCCAACCCUCCUCUUACUGACCUGGACCUUGGAGACCCUGCCUUCAUGUAGUUCAUGGUUUAUGAGAGAGGCUAACACAGUGGCUACACGGUUGGCCUGUGGGAAGCACUAAAAGAGAUAAUGCAUGUAAAAUGCCCGGCACAUAGCCUGGCCUCUUGCUAUGGGUGUUAUUCAUUAGGCCCAAUAGCUAAUCUGAAAUAGCUAAUAACUCUCUGGAGAGGCAGCUCUGUGGCAGAAGAAAGAGCAUUAGGCUGGGAUUCAAAAGGCUUGGGUCGCACAUGAAAUUCUGACCCUUGGGAGAGGUUAAGUGAUCUGAAGAAAGCCAACCCCGAAGCCCAAGCUGCCUCCUCUAGGAAAUGGAAUUAAUAACGUCUAUUUCAUAAGGUCGCUGGGAGGACUAAGAAACACAGGGUGUGAGAUAGCUUUCUCCAGUAUAUUAUUAUAUAGUGCCACAAAAAUGUUCACAGCAACGUCUCUGAACAAGCGAUAUAGACAUAUUUGUGUGUGCACCACAUCUCGUUCCAUAAAAGAUUUGAGACAUUCUUCAAACCUCAAGCAGAGCUCAAAACCCACGUGAAUAAAGAGAAUCCACGUGAAAUAAUGAACCAUAAAUAUGAUUUAAAAAGGAGGACCCAGAAAUAGGUAAAAGUAGGAACAAAAAGAUCCAGGAGAAAUAAACAUUCAAAAUUGUGGGGCGGAAGAUUUUAUCUACUGUACUGCUCAAACUGAAUAUCCAGUUUAUCUCUUAAGUUUUCUGAGAGUCCAAGGGAAAAAAGGGAGAUGUGGUUUUUCAUUCUCAUUGAAAAAAAUACGUACAGAUCUAUCUCACCCUCUCCUCUCCCCUCCCCACCUCCAUUCUUCAAGAGAAGCAGUAGUUUGCAACCCUUACUUCAACCUUGCCAAGGUAAGUACUAUUUAGAAAUGAAGAAACCAAGCCUCAGAGAGGUUGCCUAGCUUGCCUGAGAUCACACAGCUAGUAGGAGGCAAAGCCAGGCUUCAAAUUCAAGUUCAAAAGCACCACAGCCCUGUUCCUCCCACCACUAGCAGUGAAAUUGUUCAGCAGGCGUCUUCCUGAGCUGCAGCAGCCGGGGAGACUCUUACUUAGAAUCAGACAGAGACUGUCUUGGUGCCCCAACUGUCUGGCCAAAGUGUGAUUCAGCAGAAAAUUACUGUUUCAAGGCCAAAGAAACGGAAAUAAACCCUCUCAUUGCCGCAGUGCCGGGCAAGCUGAACCAGCCUUCCUGGAGGGCAUAGACUGGGGACACGGAAGAAGGAAAGAGGCAGUUUGCCGUCCUUGGGCUUGGAAAUGAACUUAGCGCAGGGCACUUGCAGAGGUGUCCUCCUCAGCCCGCAGUUGCUGAAGGCUCAUGUGAUGUCAGUGUGAGCAAGGGCACAACAGACUCUCACGGGAAGUACUCUGAAACAAGAAGGAAGAUUCCAGCUCAGCCCUGGGUGAGGUAAGAACAGGGUAGAGCACAUUCGCCAGCAGGAAUGGAACAAAGGCAAGAGGAGUAGUAAAACAAAGUCCCAUCCAGCCAGGCCUUUUAUUCUGGUCUGGAAACUGAUACCACAACCCCAUUGUCCAGAAUCCCCCAUCAUCGUAACUAAGCAAGGUUCAGGUUUACAGUAUAGUGUAAAGUAUAUGGUCCCCACUCGUCUUUUUAAUGGAUCCAUAAAGUCCUGAGUUAAGAGGCUCCUCUAGGCACUGUCAUAUUGAUAUCCAGAUGGGAGGAACCUAUCCAUUAUUGCAGCCCAAAGUAAGUGACACCCCUGCCUUUAACAAAGUUCAUGUCUCUUCGGGUGGCUAUAGAUAAUAUUAGCAGGGAUUCCAAAAUGCAUUUCACAGUAGGUUCAUAAAAGGUGCACUGAGUGACUGAGAGUACAAUGUCUUCAAGCCAUAUUCCUACAGCACAUGUGGCAUCUAGACUCAUAAGGUUUUUUUCUCUAGUGUCUAGAUCAAAGCCAAGGGCAUGACACCUACAGUACAGCUCAGGAAAGGCAAUUCUGCAAAGGCCAAGACCACUUGUUUCAAUUCUGGGCCUUCCAAUAUCAACUUUGAUCAAAGGAUAGACUUUAUGUGGAGUUGGGUCAUAUGUAUGUCAUAUAUUUUAAAUGACUGUCCAACAAUCUCAGCCUGAGGUUUUGAUGAGAAUCGGACACCUGACAGUUUGGCGUUAUAUUUUUGGACACCGUCUUAUAUUAAAGAAAGGCAGUAUGUCAGUCAAGGAUAGAACAGUGUCCUUUGGAAAUAAAAGAUAAACAGGUGGCAACUUGAUACUAUUUUAUGAAAUGCAAGUAGGCAAAAUAUGCUAUCUACUUGGAUUGAUAGCCAUCCGACCGCUGCAUGGAGGCCAGGUGCAGAAAACUAGACUUGUGCUCAGAAAAUAGUUUGGGGGCUUUUCUGGUACUUGAAAAAAUGAUUAAUUAAGUCCUGAAAAUUUUACACUGUAGAGCAUGAAAAGAAGCUUUGGGCCUCUAAAGUGUUGGAGCAGUUGUUACUUGUUCCCCUCAAUGACUGUAUAAAACCUGGAUAACAUGCCCACAGAUAACAUAGUUUUGAUCAAAGCAGUGUUCUGAUGAAACUGCCAGGAUGCAUUAAUUGAAAGAUGUAUUUGUUUUAGUUUCUAAAUAAAUGUACCUGUUUUAUGAGAUAAUUGGUUAUGAACCAAUUAGGUUUUGGACACCAUCUGCCAAAAAUGAUUUUAGCUGGGUCCUGUGAUUAAUUAACUGGAGGUCCUCUGAAUCAGAAGGGUUUGCUCAUUAUUGAAUGUAAUUUGGAGGAAUUUGGGCCAUAAAUCCCUGACUGUGAGGACUAUUCCACUUUAGUCCUGGUGUUUAGAGCGGGCGUUACAGUGUUUAGGAGAGGGCCCUAGCCUCUAGUUCACAGGACCAGUGAAGAAAGACAGGAGUUAAGACGUGACCAAGACAAAAAGAAAUGUGAGGGGACAUUUCCCAGGCCCAACAUUACCCAAAUAAUUGGAAUGCCACAUUAGUAAGUCCAGAAAUAUCAGAGCCUCACAAACAAGUCAUUACCCACUCUGCUAGCCAGAAUCUGGUUUGGGGAGAAAAGUCGUAAUGGCCACAUAUUAUAUUUCUGUCCUUUUGCUUCACACAUUUUUGCUCAACCAAGAUACCACCAGCAUAACUAGAAAUGUGUGAGUCUUUUCAAGGAAAGACCUCAGGUAAAUGACUGAAUGCAGUCUAUUGUCAAUCAACAAAAGGUCACCUUUGUCCUUUGGGAUGCUGUGGGGUUACCAAAGGACUGAGAUACCCCACUUACCUGCCUUACAUCUUCAGCUCUCCAAAGUAUAGCCCUGACUCAGAAGGAAGUAUUAAAAAGCCUCACUUAUGAAACUCUGCCCUGAAUAAAGCCAUGUAUUCACUUCCCUGGUUCUUCUCUCAGAUUUAUUGGCUCUCCUGGACCAGGCUUCUUAACAAGUACCUGACUCUGGUUUCUCCUUCUCUUCAGAUGAGAAGUGGUGUAGAAAGCCAGGAAGAGAAAGAGAAUGUCUCAGUGGGAGCUAGAGACAUGGUCAGAGCCAGGGAAAUGUUAAGUCUAGAGUCAUAACAAUGAUAAAAGAACAAUUCUAGACAUGGAACCAUAUUUUAUAUAAGAAUCAAAUACUGUAUAUUCAUGAUAAUAACUCUGAAUCAAGAACUGGCUAAAAUGCUAUUUUCCAGGGCAUUAAAUAAUGUGUUAAAAUUGACCAUAAAAUAAUUGGUAGGCUCAAAAUCAAAUAAUAUUCUAGCAGGAAGUAGAUUUUACCAUAUGAAGAAAAACAGGUUUGCGCCAAAGGCAGACCAAAAAUAAGAGGAUAAUGAAAAAAAAUAAAAGAAAGAAAGGAAAACAUUGAUUUGACAGCAACCACUUUCCAUAGGGUGUAACAGAAAGUAAACCUCUGGCUUCUCACAAAAUCUGGAUCACAGGAGCUCAAUGUGGUUUUUACACAAGACUUAGAAGAAAUCACCGGCAUUAGGGUUUCCAUCAAGGAGGAGCCGCCAGGCAACAAGCCUGGAAGCUCAGGACACACAUCACUCUUAGAAAGGCGUGUUCACGCAGGGAGGUGCCUGCACAAGGAAACUUGUGCACAGAAGCCAGCAGUGCGAUGGCCCUGCCUGGAGGUGGUGCAGGCUGCUCCCAGGGUAUGUGGGCGGAGACAAGUUGUACCAAUAGACAAGCCCAAAUAUGUGCAUUUGCUCACAUUUGGUUGGUGGGGGGAGGUUGGGAUGAAGUCAUGUAAAGAAAACAGUGCAGCUUGACUGGGUUCCCCUGUCUCCUCCCCACGUUCACCCAUCAGCAAGGUCUAGGGGAGUUUGUUUGAAGAUGUUAAAUUGGGAUCAUACCAUGACAACCUCUUGCUUUUGUUCAGUAACUAGGGAGCAGAAACGAGUUUCAUUUUCUCUAUUUUUGAAUCUAUGGAAAUGUAUGCUCCAUUUCUGAAAGAUUUUCAUUAAACUAUAUUUAAAAUAAUAGAAAAAAUAUUUUUGACCUUUACUUAGUUAACUUCUGUGUAGUGGUUAUGUAUCUGACAAAACAAGUUCAGGUCCUGGCUUUACCUCUUACUAGCUGUGUGACUCCAGGCAGGUUGUUAAUACUUUAUCUUUUUUUAUUUUUAAUGGAAAAACAGGCCAUUUCAAAACCAUGAAUACCAUUGUGGUUGAGAAUAUCAGUGUCCCAUCUUAGGGGCAGCACUGCGGACCCCAUCGUCUGCCAAUGCCCCUGCUUCUGCAAUCUCAUGCUUGGUGGGUGUCAGGUCCUCUCUGAUGUCUAUCUGACUUGUGGGGAGAAGGGGUAGAGGGUAAGCUCCCACAUAAGAGUACAGCAGGGACCCCACCUGGCCUGCUGGCAUUGACAGAGGCUGCCAAAGUAGCUCUUCGCCUAUGGGAGGACAACCCCUUCAAAGGACAUUUUUUUUUCCUGGCUGCUGUCUCAGAGUCUUACCCUUUCUCAGCCUCAGUUUCCUUGAAAAGACCAGGAAGUACAAUAGUUAUACUCAGAGGGAUUGGCCCAGGGCUGCAUGAGAAAUGAGGGCCAUUUCCUAUUGAUUUCUUACUGAUUCAGCUACAUCUGGGUUCUCAGAGUAGAGCUAUUUAGAGAGUAGACUUGACUGAGAGUGUUUCCUGGGGUAAGUAAGGCUGAAGUGGACAGCCUCCUACUUUGUGUCUCUUCUUCAACGAUGGGAUCUAGAGAGCCUCCACUUUCCCAUCUUUGAGUUCAUCUGGCCUCUGCUUGCACAUAAUCUUGAAUGCUCUGCCAGAGUCAACAGGAGCAAGAGGCAGCCUUUCAGACCUAGUCACGCUCAGUCUCCAGCUCCUACCAGUGAAUGCACAUGUGAGAAUCAGGGCUGCCCAGAUCCUCUCUUUUCCUUGCAUGGUGAAGAGUGCCUGGUGGUCGCCAUGACUCUGUUCAGUCCUGGAACCCACAUCUCUUGACCUGGUCAUCCUUGGUCUGAACUACGUGGCCUUGGAAAAUCCAUGCUGUCACAGCAUGAAGCCACUGGCUCCUUUGGUGCUGGCCAAGGUGCUGAUCAUAUGGGAGCCAGAACCCAAAAGUCUUCCUGCAAGAGAAUGGAGCUGAACACCUUGUCCUGAUUGGAUGACUCAGUAACCUGCUACUUAGGAGGGACAAUCAUCACCAUGCUUCCACAUCUCCUGUGGUGACCCUCUCUCAGCUGGGGUUGGGGAGGGAGAGUGGGGGAUAGGUGCUCUAAGAGCAGCACACUCAGCAAGAGCAUGCAGUUUUAUUUUGAGUAGAGGAACAGAUGGGGUGGAGGGAGAGAAGCUUGGGGUUCAGGUUCCUAGUCUGGAGGCCAGGGUGCUCCAUGGAGCUAGUUUGAGGAAGGAGAGAGAUGGCUCAGAAGUCCGUAGGCUCUGUCAAGGCAGCAAGAAAGCAUAGGGGAUGAGAGGAAGGCAGAGAUGGGGGACAGAAAGCAGGGGUCGGAGCCAGUAAGGUUUAAGCCUGGACCAUAGCAGAAAGGCCCAUAGUAAGUGAGAGGAACACCAGGACCAGAGGGAAGAAUCAGCCAGGAGGAGCAUUCUAGAGGGUGUAAUAUCAGGAUGGCAGAAGGUCCCGGAGAGGGGGUAUUGAGGAAAGUCAAGACUACACAACACACUUUUGUAUUUUCCAGUCUAGUUCCACUGAAAGAGAUAACAUUCUAAACAACUUUUUUUUCUUCCUAACUACUUAAUUUUAUGUUUUUUGGCCGCACUGCGCAGCAUGUGGGAUCUUACUUUCCCAGCCAGGGAUUGAACCCAUGGCCCCCACAUUGGGAGCACAGAACUUUAACCACUGGACUCGCCAGGAAAGUCCCAGAGGAAAGUCUUCCCUCUCUCUCUAAGUGCAUUAUAGUUAUCUGAACUGUUAUUUUAUAAGGCAAAAUCCUUGUUUCCAAGGAGUUUACAACUUAGCUGAUGAUACAUCAUAUUCACUCAAUAGAGGGUUAAAUAAAAACCCAAGUAGCACAGGUGAAGUGACCAAUAACUGGUAUUCAGAAUGAAUGAGAGUUCUAAUAAGAGAGACUUCACAAAUGAGAUGCAGUGAUUGGAGGGGACAACAUGGAGAAACUGGAAUCUGAUCUGAAUCUUAAAGGAGGGAGCAGGCUUUGGAAAGGUAGAGGUGGGGGAACAGGUGGGUCAGGUAGGAAGAAUGUCCUAUGGCAGAGUUAAGUGAGGUGUGUUAUCAGCAAAAAUAUGCAGGCUGGCCAGGGCUGGCCCCUCUGUAAAGGGGACAAGUGGGAGAUGCUUGGAGGAUAGCAAGGAGGCCACAGUGAUGUACUCUCCCAAGGACACAGAGGAAAGAGGCCAUUCAAUACAUAAUGGGCCAGAGCUUAGCUAUGCCAGGUCAGCUUAAAUACCAAGCUGUAUUACUGAUAGAAGAUUGCACUGUAACAUGAUACAAUAUAUAAAAUCAACACAUAUGAAGAAAACAAUCAUAAAAAGUAGUGUUAGGGCUUCCCUGGUGGCGCAGUGGUUGAGAGUCCGCCUGCUGAUGCAGGGGCACGGGUUUGUGCCCCGGUCUGGGAGGAUCCCACAUGCUGCGGAGCGGCUGGGCCCGUGAGCCAUGGCUGCUGAGCCUGCGCGUCUGGAGCCUGUGGUCCGCAACGGGAGAGGCCACAACAGUGAGAGGCCCAC